CACAAGAAGCUCAUAGCCAAUCAAAGCCUCUCCAUCUCCGAAGCUCCAACCGAACCGAGGAUGUCUUGCUGCGGAGGAAACUGCGGCUGCGGCACCGCCUGCAAGUGCGGCAACGGCUGCGGCGGCUGCAACAUGUACCCGGAGGCCGAGGCCGCCGGCGCCACCCUCCUCGUCUCCGCCACCGCCACCCACAAGGCGUACGUCCCUUCUCCUUCCUCAUAUAUCAUGCACUCGAUCGUAACAAUAUGACUGUAUGUUGAUCUUGGUAUGGGUGGGGUACGUGCAGGAGCUCCGGCGGCAUGGAGAUGGCGGCCGAGAACGGCGGCUGCGGCUGCACCCAGUGCAAGUGCGGCACCAGCUGCGGCUGCUCCUGCUGCAGCUGCUAGAUCAUUGAUCAUCGAUCAUGCAUGCACCGCGCGUGCAGCAUCGAUCAUAUCGAUCUACUACUACCAUACCAUGUAGCCGGUACCUGAUCGAGGGCCUUAUCUAUGCACCUGACCUGCAUCAGCAGUCAGGUGCCAUGCCAUGCUUGUUGUAAACAGGCCCCCCUAAAUAAAAU
rnacentral:lncRNA from 1 species